GAUCCCCGGCGUGUCUUUUGGCGAAGGCGACGGAGAUCGGCAGAAGAGUUAUCGCUCUCUGCAGGGGAUAAGCGUUUUGCUUAUCCCCAUUUU
rnacentral:sRNA from 2 species